CGCAGAGAGCACGCGAAGGCCAAGGAAUGACAAUUCCUUAGAUUGUAUUUAGAUGGGAGCCUAACAGAAACGAGAGACGAUAAAUAACUGAUUGCUUGAGCUGUUACAAAUGUACAAGCGAAGUUUCGUGGGCAGACUGUAACUCUAAGAUGACAAAAACCUCGUGUUCAUCAGGAUCACCAAACUGUGUCAAAGGAGUGCUAACAUGUACUGCUGAUGACGUGACGAAAACCGUCUUCUUUAAAAGAUGUGGUAAGGAAGGCAGCACUUGUGACACGACAAGACAAGAUACCGCUUCGUGCCCUUCGUCGAUUGCCCGGUGGAGUUACAGCUUCAGUAACCAGUGUUGUACAGG